UCCACCUGGGGAGUACGCCGGCAACGUGAAACUCAAAGGAAUUGACGGGGGCCCGCACAAGCGGAGGACAUGUGUUUAUUCGAUGAUACGCGAGAACCUUACCCGGGCUUGAACUGCUGAGGAAGGAUACAGAGAUGUAGACGCCCUUCGGGGCCUCAGUGGAGGUGCUGCAUGGUUGUCGUCAGCUCGUGCCGUGAGGUGUCGGCUUAAGUGCCAUAACGAGCGCAACCCUUGCCGUCAGUUGCCAUCACGUAUUGGUGGGCACUCUGAUGGGACUGCCAUCGCAAGAUGUGAGGAAGGUGGGGAUGACGUCAAAUCAGCACGGCCCUUACGUCCGGGGCUACACACGUGUUACAAUGGGGGGCACAGCGCGCCGCUACCUGGUGACAGGAUGCGAAUCGUGAAAUCCCCUCUCAGUUCGGACUGGAGUCUGCAACCCGACUCCACGAAGCUGGAUUCGCUAGUAAUCGCGCAUCAGCCAUGGCGCGGUGAAUACGUUCCCGGGCCUUGUACACACCGCCCGUCAAGCCAUGAAAGCCGGGGGUGCCUGAAGUCCGUCACCGCAAGGAUCGGCCUAAGGCAAAACUGGUGAUUGGGGCU
rnacentral:rRNA from 1 species